rnacentral:rRNA from 1 species
AGAGCGGGAGCCCGGAGAUGGGCACUGAGACAAGGGCCCAGGCCCUACGGGGCGCAGCAGUCGCGAAAACUUUGCAAUAAGCGAAAGCUUGACAGGGCUAUCCCGAGUGCCAUCCGCUGAGGAAGGCUUUUACCCAGUCUAGAACGCUGGGGGAAUAAGGAGAGGGCAAGUCUGGUGUCAGCCGCCGCGGUAAUACCAGCUCUUCGAGUGGUGUGGAUGUUUAUUGGGCCUAAAGCAUCCGUAGCUGGCUAGGUUAGUCCCCUGUUAAAUCCACCGAAUUAAUCGUUGGAUUGCGGGGGAUACUGCUUGGCUAGGGGACGAGAGAGGCAGACGGUAUUUUCGGGGUAGGGGUGAAAUCCUAUAAUCCCGGGAAGACCACCAGUGGCAAAGGCUGUCUGCU